AACGAACGCUGGCGGCAUGCCUAACACAUGCAAGUCGAACGAAGGCUUCGGCCUUAGUGGCGCACGGGUGCGUAACGCGUGGGAAUCUGCCCUUGGGUUCGGAAUAACGUCGGGAAACUGACGCUAAUACCGGAUGAUGACGUAAGUCCAAAGAUUUAUCGCCCAAGGAUGAGCCCGCGUCGGAUUAGCUAGUUGGUGAGGUAAAAGCUAACCAAGGCGACGAUCCGUAGCUGGUCUGAGAGGAUGAUCAGCCACACUGGGACUGAGACACGGCCCAGACUCCUACGGGAGAGAGCAGUGGGGAAUAUUGGAAAAGGGGCGAAAGCCUGAUCCAGCAAUGCCGCGUGAGUGAUGAAGGCCUUAGGGUUGUAAAGCUCUUUUAACCGGGAUGAUAAUGACCGUAACGGGAGAAUAAGCUCCGGCUAACUCCGUGC
rnacentral:rRNA from 1 species